rnacentral:lncRNA from 1 species
CCCUGCACACAUUUCACAAACAGAUUAAGUUGAUUUUGGUACCCAAAUUGCUUUGGGUCCAGAUUUGUUAGUCUUAGCAGCCUUUUCCACUUUCUCAACCUUUACCUUGGAUUGAAUUGAUUCAAUCUUUGGUUUUGGUUGAGAAAUUGGAAUAUCAACUCUGUUUUCAAACACAGGCCUUUGAGGCAUGCAUACAUUGUUCAUUCCAUGCAAAUUUGAAUGAAAUUGAGGCAUGUUAAAGGCAUUAAAAUAAGGAUUGAACAUAUAUGGCAUGUUAGGCUGAGAAUAAGGAUUGUGAGGCAAUAAACCAGGCAUCAUAUUCAUAGCAGAUAAAUUCAUGUGAGGAACAGAUGUCAUAGGAAUAGGCAAAGAUAAAUUAGG